UACGUAGGGGGCAAGCGUUGUCCGGAAUCAUUGGGCGUAAAGAGCGUGUAGGCGGCCCGAUAAGUCCGCCGUGAAAGUCCAGGGCUCAACCCUGGAAUGCCGGUGGAAACUGUCGGGCUGGAGUCCGGAAGAGGCGAGUGGAAUUCCUGGUGUAGCGGUGAAAUGCGCAGAUAUCAGGAGGAACACCGGUGGCGAAGGCGGGUCUCUGGACAGUUCCUGACACUGAGACACGAAGGCCAGGGGAGCAAACGGG
rnacentral:rRNA from 1 species